AGAGUUUGAUCAUGGCUCAGAACGAACGCUGGCGGCGUGGAUAAGACAUGCAAGUCGAACGCUUGAUUUCGGGUAGCAAUAUUCGGAGUCAGGAGUGGCGCAAGGGUGCGUAACACGUGGGCAAUCUGCCGCGAAGACCGGGAUAACUUGCUGAAAGGCGAGCUAAUACCGGAUGUGAAAUCUGGAAGGCAUCUUUUGGAUUUUGAAGCUGGGGACCGCAAGGCCUGGCACUUCGCGAUGAGCCCGCGGCCUAUCAGCUAGUUGGUGAGGUAACGGCUCACCAAGGCUAAGACGGGUAGCUGGUCUGAGAGGACGACCAGCCUCACUGGAACUGAGACACGGUCCAGACACCUACGGGUGGCAGCAGUCGAGAAUUUUUCACAAUGGGCGAAAGCCUGAUGGAGCGACGCCGCGUGGGGGAUGAAGGGCUUCGGUCCGUAAACCCCUGUCAUUUGCGAACAAACCUUUUCAGUGAACAACUGAGAAGCUGAUUGUAGCAGAAGAGGAAGGGACGGCUAACUCUGUGCCAGCAGCCGCGGUA
rnacentral:rRNA from 1 species